rnacentral:rRNA from 1 species
GACGAACGCUGGCGGCGUGCUUAACACAUGCAAGUCGAACGGAGAGGCCCUGCUUUUGUGGGGUGCUCGAGUGGCGAACGGGUGAGUAACACGUGAGUAACCUGCCCUUGACUUUGGGAUAACUUCAGGAAACUGGGGCUAAUACCGGAUAGGAGCUCCUGCUGCAUGGUGGGGGUUGGAAAGUUUCGGCGGUUGGGGAUGGACUCGCGGCUUAUCAGCUUGUUGGUGGGGUAGUGGCUUACCAAGGCUUUGACGGGUAGCCGGCCUGAGAGGGUGACCGGCCACAUUGGGACUGAGAUACGGCCCAGACUCCUACGGGAGGCAGCAGUGGGGAAUAUUGCACAAUGGGCGGAAGCCUGAUGCAGCAACGCCGCGUGCGGGAUGACGGCCUUCGGGUUGUAAACCGCUUUCGCCUGUGACGAAGCGUGAGUGACGGUAAUGGGUAAAGAAGCACCGGCUAACUACGUGCCAGCAGCCGCGGUGAUACGUAGGGUGCGAGCGUUGUCCGGAUUUAUUGGGCGUAAAGGGCUCGUAGGUGGUUGAUCGCGUCGGAAGUGUAAUCUUGGGGCUUAACCCUGAGCGUGCUUUCGAUACGGGUUGACUUGAGGAAGGUAGGGGAGAAUGGAAUUCCUGGUGGAGCGGUGGAAUGCGCAGAUAUCAGGAGGAACACCAGUGGCGAAGGCGGUUCUCUGGGCCUUUCCUGACGCUGAGGAGCGAAAGCGUGGGGAGCGAACAGGCUUAGAUACCCUGGUAGUCCACGCUGUAAACGGUGGGUACUAGGUGUGGGGUCCAUUCCACGGGUUCCGUGCCGUAGCUAACGCUUUAAGUACCCCGCCUGGGGAGUACGGCCGCAAGGCUAAAACUCAAAGGAAUUGACGGGGCCCCGCACAAGCGGCGGAGCAUGCGGAUUAAUUCGAUGCAACGCGUAGAACCUUACCUGGGUUUGACAUGGAUCGGGAGUGCUCAGAGAUGGGUGUGCCUCUUUUGGGGUCGGUUCACAGGUGGUGCAUGGCUGUCGUCAGCUCGUGUCGUGAGAUGUUGGGUUAAGUCCCGCAACGAGCGCAACCCUUGUUCACUGUUGCCAGCACGUUAUGGUGGGGACUCAGUGGAGACCGCCGGGGUCAACUCGGAGGAAGGUGGGGAUGACGUCAAGUCACCAUGCCCCUUAUGUCCAGGGCUUCACGCAUGCUACAAUGGCUGGUACAGAGAGUGGCGAGCCUGUGAGGGUGAGCGAAUCUCGGAAAGCCGGUCUCAGUUCGGAUUGGGGUCUGCAACUCGACCUCAUGAAGUCGGAGUCGCUAGUAAUCGCAGAUCAGCAACGCUGCGGUGAAUACGUUCCCGGG